rnacentral:rRNA from 2 species
UUAAGCGACUAAGCGUACACGGUGGAUGCCCUGGCAGUCAGAGGCGAUGAAGGACGUGCUAAUCUGCGAUAAGCGUCGGUAAGGUGAUAUGAACCGUUAUAACCGGCGAUUUCCGAAUGGGGAAACCCAGUGUGUUUCGACACACUAUCAUUAACUGAAUCCAUAGGUUAAUGAGGCGAACCGGGGGAACUGAAACAUCUAAGUACCCCGAGGAAAAGAAAUCAACCGAGAUUCCCCCAGUAGCGGCGAGCGAACGGGGAGCAGCCCAGAGCCUGAAUCAGUGUGUGUGUUAGUGGAAGCGUCUGGAAAGGCGCGCGAUACAGGGUGACAGCCCCGUACACAAAAAUGCACAUGCUGUGAGCUCGAUGAGUAGGGCGGGACACGUGGUAUCCUGUCUGAAUAUGGGGGGACCAUCCUCCAAGGCUAAAUACUCCUGACUGACCGAUAGUGAACCAGUACCGUGAGGGAAAGGCGAAAAGAACCCCGGCGAGGGGAGUGAAAAAGAACCUGAAACCGUGUACGUACAAGCAGUGGGAGCACGCUUAGGCGUGUGACUGCGUACCUUUUGUAUAAUGGGUCAGCGACUUAUAUUCUGUAGCAAGGUUAACCGAAUAGGGGAGCCGAAGGGAAACCGAGUCUUAACUGGGCGUUAAGUUGCAGGGUAUAGACCCGAAACCCGGUGAUCUAGCCAUGGGCAGGUUGAAGGUUGGGUAACACUAACUGGAGGACCGAACCGACUAAUGUUGAAAAAUUAGCGGAUGACUUGUGGCUGGGGGUGAAAGGCCAAUCAAACCGGGAGAUAGCUGGUUCUCCCCGAAAGCUAUUUAGGUAGCGCCUCGUGAAUUCAUCUCCGGGGGUAGAGCACUGUUUCGGCAAGGGGGUCAUCCCGACUUACCAACCCGAUGCAAACUGCGAAUACCGGAGAAUGUUAUCACGGGAGACACACGGCGGGUGCUAACGUCCGUCGUGAAGAGGGAAACAACCCAGACCGCCAGCUAAGGUCCCAAAGUCAUGGUUAAGUGGGAAACGAUGUGGGAAGGCCCAGACAGCCAGGAUGUUGGCUUAGAAGCAGCCAUCAUUUAAAGAAAGCGUAAUAGCUCACUGGUCGAGUCGGCCUGCGCGGAAGAUGUAACGGGGCUAAACCAUGCACCGAAGCUGCGGCAGCGACGCUGAUGCGUUGUUGGGUAGGGGAGCGUUCUGUAAGCCUGCGAAGGUGUGCUGUGAGGCAUGCUGGAGGUAUCAGAAGUGCGAAUGCUGACAUAAGUAACGAUAAAGCGGGUGAAAAGCCCGCUCGCCGGAAGACCAAGGGUUCCUGUCCAACGUUAAUCGGGGCAGGGUGAGUCGACCCCUAAGGCGAGGCCGAAAGGCGUAGUCGAUGGGAAACAGGUUAAUAUUCCUGUACUUGGUGUUACUGCGAAGGGGGGACGGAGAAGGCUAUGUUGGCCGGGCGACGGUUGUCCCGGUUUAAGCGUGUAGGCUGGUUUUCCAGGCAAAUCCGGAAAAUCAAGGCUGAGGCGUGAUGACGAGGCACUACGGUGCUGAAGCAACAAAUGCCCUGCUUCCAGGAAAAGCCUCUAAGCAUCAGGUAACAUCAAAUCGUACCCCAAACCGACACAGGUGGUCAGGUAGAGAAUACCAAGGCGCUUGAGAGAACUCGGGUGAAGGAACUAGGCAAAAUGGUGCCGUAACUUCGGGAGAAGGCACGCUGAUAUGUAGGUGAGGUCCCUCGCGGAUGGAGCUGAAAUCAGUCGAAGAUACCAGCUGGCUGCAACUGUUUAUUAAAAACACAGCACUGUGCAAACACGAAAGUGGACGUAUACGGUGUGACGCCUGCCCGGUGCCGGAAGGUUAAUUGAUGGGGUUAGCGCAAGCGAAGCUCUUGAUCGAAGCCCCGGUAAACGGCGGCCGUAACUAUAACGGUCCUAAGGUAGCGAAAUUCCUUGUCGGGUAAGUUCCGACCUGCACGAAUGGCGUAAUGAUGGCCAGGCUGUCUCCACCCGAGACUCAGUGAAAUUGAACUCGCUGUGAAGAUGCAGUGUACCCGCGGCAAGACGGAAAGACCCCGUGAACCUUUACUAUAGCUUGACACUGAACAUUGAGCCUUGAUGUGUAGGAUAGGUGGGAGGCUUGGAAGUGUGGACGCCAGUCUGCAUGGAGCCGACCUUGAAAUACCACCCUUUAAUGUUUGAUGUUCUAACGUUGACCCGUAAUCCGGGUUGCGGACAGUGUCUGGUGGGUAGUUUGACUGGGGCGGUCUCCUCCUAAAGAGUAACGGAGGAGCACGAAGGUUGGCUAAUCCUGGUCGGACAUCAGGAGGUUAGUGCAAUGGCAUAAGCCAGCUUGACUGCGAGCGUGACGGCGCGAGCAGGUGCGAAAGCAGGUCAUAGUGAUCCGGUGGUUCUGAAUGGAAGGGCCAUCGCUCAACGGAUAAAAGGUACUCCGGGGAUAACAGGCUGAUACCGCCCAAGAGUUCAUAUCGACGGCGGUGUUUGGCACCUCGAUGUCGGCUCAUCACAUCCUGGGGCUGAAGUAGGUCCCAAGGGUAUGGCUGUUCGCCAUUUAAAGUGGUACGCGAGCUGGGUUUAGAACGUCGUGAGACAGUUCGGUCCCUAUCUGCCGUGGGCGCUGGAGAACUGAGGGGGGCUGCUCCUAGUACGAGAGGACCGGAGUGGACGCAUCACUGGUGUUCGGGUUGUCAUGCCAAUGGCACUGCCCGGUAGCUAAAUGCGGAAGAGAUAAGUGCUGAAAGCAUCUAAGCACGAAACUUGCCCCGAGAUGAGUUCUCCCUGACCCUUUAAGGGUCCUGAAGGAACGUUGAAGACGACGACGUUGAUAGGCCGGGUGUGUAAGCGCAGCGAUGCGUUGAGCUAACCGGUACUAAUGAACCGUGAGGCUUAACCUU